rnacentral:lncRNA from 1 species
UUUUUGUUGUUGCAUUCAAAGUUUUAAGAAAAUAUCGAUGAAGAAUCCUUUACUGCUGUAACCUCUUUUUCGUUUCUGUUCGAUCUUGAGGCAUAGAAAAAACAGAAAUCUUUUGGUAUGUACUUGCCGAAGUUGAAGUUUGAUUUGUUGACCCAACACAUAGUAGGUGCGCCUCAGUUCACUGCCCUAAAAAAGGUCAACAUCAAUCAAACAUAUUGUACUCAGUCGUUAGUGAAUCUUUCAACUCCGCAUAGAAAUUCCCCAUCUGAGAUCUGCGUUUGAUCUAUAGAAUUUGAGCUGCACUCACCCCAAGUUUUAACAGGCUUGCUGUCGGCUUUCUGGUACUAAUGGUUACUGGAUAUUUUUCUGAUUCCUAUUUAGAUUUGUCGUUUAAUUAAGUAGUUCAAUUGAUCUAUUCAUUUAAACUGAUAUUUUUCUGAUUCCUAUUUAGAUUUGAAAAUUUUGGGUCUAGAUUUAUUGGAUCUGAUCGAAAAUAUAUUUAUUCCGGCGAGUCAUUUGCUCUCUGUUUUCAUAUCUUACUUUUAUUUUACGGAUCCAAAAGUGAGAUAAAAUAGUUAGCUGAAAAUUCCGACCCUGGUGCUUGAACGGAAUCUUGCUGAAAAUUUUUCCGGCGACCUAUGUGCACAUGUUCCCUCUGACCGUGCUCCAUUGUCUAACGUCCUUUUAGUAACAUCUCAGCCUGUAUUGGUUACUUCAUUUUGUAAAACCAAUAUUUUGGGUUGAGGUAUCGAAAUUAAUCGAAUUGGUUUUGGGAUUAGAUUUUUGGAAAUCUACCAGAAUCUUGAUAUCCGAUCUUAUUAAAUUGCUGAAGAAAUUAAUUUUUUUAAAUGCCCAAACGGAUAUAGGACCUGACCUAAAAAAAUAUCAAGAAAUCCCUCACCCCUUGAACAACGGCGGAAAUCCCUUUCUGCUCCAUUCCUUCAUCAACUCCAAACACCAGAUACCACACGCACUCCUUUCUUUCUCGUUUCUUUCUGAUUUCCAUUGACACAUACAUACGAUUCACUCAUACAAGCUCUAGGAUUUUCGAGCUGUGGACUUGUUUGAUAGUUGACCGAAUCUGUUGUGCUUGCUUCGCCGAUUUGUUUAUUUCAAGCAAAUUUAAAACAAUAUACCAGAUCUGGUUUUCGCUCACUUACUCCGCUGGUAACCAUUUAAUUUAUUAUUAUUGAUUUCUUACUCGCUUUCUUUCUCUUUCACUUUCAGAUCUUUAUUUUUAUUUAAUUGUAGUUUAUUUUUAUUUCCUUUGAUUUGAUUGAUCCACAGAUCUAACCUCCUUCACUUUCAGAUCUUCUUGCUUUUUUAACUGUAAAGAAUUGUGGUUGCAAAUUUUGAAACACUAUUCGCUGAGUUCCAGCUUUUCCUUCGCCAUAAUUUGGUUAUUCAAGUUUGUCUCUACUAUUGCUUAGAGGUUUUUUGAAUUCUUGCUUUUCGUCAGCGAUUUUUACGGCGACCCCUGCUAUUUUCUUCCUAUUCUCUCUUCUGCUUUUUGUGGGGGUGUGUGGAUGUGUUCUGUUUCUUGCACAGGUGCCUUAUUUUUCCAGCGAGGAUUUACGGCAAGCUACAUUACUUCCGGCGACUCCCAUUCAGACUUUCGGCAGGACGCAAUAGAACUACACGUUCCGAUAAGCUUCAGGAAAACUUGCCCCAGGUACUAGUCGCGGCGGCGAGG